rnacentral:misc_RNA from 1 species
UGCAAGUUGGCGUGCAGGUGG